rnacentral:lncRNA from 1 species
CAUGAAAGCAAAGAGCACAACAAGCAGAAGCCUUGGCAAACUGAGGACACCCAGCCUGGGAGAGAGAAAAUUUCACAUGGUUUGAGAAACCAGAGCCAACAGAAAAUUAGGAGUAAGGCAAGGGGCAGGGGCAAUGGAGGGUAAAAUUUUCUCUGGGUAAGGCAAGUAAAAGACAUUUGAGACCCUAACCAGUUUGUGAAUUCACUUGAUGUCUGCCUAUAAAUUAAUGUCCUUAAUAAUUUAUAUUGAAAAAUGAAGAUGAAACAGGUUUGGAAAAAGGUAUUUUUUCUUUUGGUUUGGGUUUGGGUUAUUUUGUGUGUUUUAUUUUGUUUUUGUGGAGUUUUGGUUGGUUGGUUUGAUUUUUCUUUGUUUUUGCUAACAUAAUAGGGAUCUGCCCCAGGCCUCCUGCUGGGAGGGCUUUAGGAGGAGAUGGGUUAAAACAGCCUUUCCUCUGGGUCCCUGUAGCAUCAUGCUAACUGUGAGAUUUGAGGAAAACCCUGUACUCAUCAGUAUUUUGGGGGUGGGGGAAUAAAUCUUCUCUUUGGGCAAAGAAGUGGCCGCUCAUUUGCUUGCCAGGUGAUGGCUGGCAGCACCUCUGCUCAUUUGAAGCAUGUCCUUAUAUAUAGACAGUGCCCAAAAUGUCACCUCUGGGGUAAGGCACAGCCCAAAAUGUGUGAUGGUAUCAGGCUCUGUCUUCCCCAUAUUGCACAUGAAACAAAAAUGGAUGCCAAAAUGGUGAUGUUUGCAUGGACCCUGGAACUCCCACAGUCACACUGGCCUUUUCCCUACAUCACUUAUUUAGGAUAAAGAAAACUCAGAGCCACGUUUCUGUGAGAACAGCCUUUGCUGGAGGCAGCUGCUCAGGUGCAUCUCCCAGUGAUGCCUCUGAACAGCAGAGGCUGAUGGUGACUUUCUAAAGGGACAUGAAUGUUUGAAGGUUUCUCAUUCCUGUCACAAACCUCCUGUGUUCUCCUGGGAGGCUCCUUCCUUUCCUUCGCCUUUUCUUCACUGCUGCUGAACUGCACUUCCAGGUGUUGCCAAAGGACCAGGACACAGCUGUGGUCACAAAGGAGGAGAAAACACCCUGGCCAGCACACCAGAGCUGAGGCAGGAAGAUCAUCCUCAUCUGACAAAGCUCAAGGAGUUCAUGGUGGCUGA